AUCCAGCUGAAGAGUCAAAAAUAGGACGAAACGCGCGUCCUGGAU
rfam:Schistosoma rodhaini strain Burundi genome assembly, scaffold: SROB_scaffold0001568